rnacentral:rRNA from 1 species
AUACGGAGGGGGUUAGCGUUGUUCGGAAUUACUGGGCGUAAAGCGCACGUAGGCGGAUUGGAAAGUUGGGGGUGAAAUCCCAGGGCUCAACCCUGGAACUGCCUCCAAAACUAACAGUCUAGAGUUCGAGAGAGGUGAGUGGAAUUCCAAGUGUAGAGGUGAAAUUCGUAGAUAUUUGGAGGAACACCAGUAGCGAAGGCGGCUCACUGGCUCGAUACUGACGCUGAGGUGCGAAAGCGUGGGGAGCAAACAGGAUUAGAAACCCGAGUAGUCC